UACGGAAGGGGCAAGCGUUGUUCGGAAUCAUUGGGCGUAAAGCGUGCGCAGGCGGUUUUGUAAGCCAGAUGUGAAAUCCCCGGGCUUAACCUGGGAAUUGCAUUCGAGACUGCGUAGCUAGGGUGCGGAAGAGGGAAGCGGAAUUUCCGGUGUAGCGGUGAAAUGCGUAGAUAUCGUAAGGAAGACCAGUGGCGAAGGCGGGUCUCUGGACAGUUCCUGACACUGAGGCACGAAGGCCAGGGGAGCAAACGGG
rnacentral:rRNA from 1 species